rnacentral:rRNA from 1 species
UACGUAGGGUGCAAGCGUUAAUCGGAAUUACUGGGCGUAAAGCGUGCGCAGGCGGUUGUGCAAGACAGAUGUGAAAUCCCCGGGCUUAACCUGGGAAUUGCAUUUGUGACUGCACGGCUAGAGCGUGUCAGAGGGGGGUAGAAUUCCACGUGUAGCAGUGAAAUGCGUAGAUAUGUGGAGGAAUACCGAUGGCGAAGGCAGCCCCCUGGGAUAACACUGACGCUCAUGCACGAAAGCGUGGGGAUCAAACAGG